UUCCUACGGGAGGCAGCAGUGAGGAAUAUUGGUCAAUGGCCGAGAGGCUGAACCAGCCAAGUCGCGUGAGGGAUGACGGCCCUACGGGUUGUAAACCUCUUUUGCCGGGGAGCAAAGAGCGGGACGCGUCCCGCCUCGAGAGUACCCGGAGAAAAAGCAUCGGCUAACUCCGUGCCAGCAGCCGCGGUAAUACGGAGGAUGCGAGCGUUAUCCGGAUUUAUUGGGUUUAAAGGGUGCGCAGGCGGAAGCGCAAGUCAGCGGUAAAAUUGAGAGGCUCAACCUCUUCCCGCCGUUGAAACAGCGUU
rnacentral:rRNA from 1 species